ACCUGGCUGGCUCAUUCAGAAGAGCAUAUGACUCUUGAUCUCAAGGUCGUGGGUUUGAGCCCCACACUGGGUG
rnacentral:tRNA from 1 species